rnacentral:rRNA from 1 species
GUGUCAGCCGCCGCGGUAAGACGGAGGAGGCAAGCGUUAUCCGGAAUUAUUGGGCGUAAAGGGUCCGCAGGUGGCAGUUCAAGUCUGCAGUCAAAGGUCGGGGCUCAACCCCGGAAAGGCUGUGGAAACUGAACAGCUAGAGUACGGUAGGGGCAGAGGGAAUUCCCAGUGUAGCGGUGAAAUGCGUAGAGAUUGGGAAGAACACCGGUGGCGAAAGCGCUCUGCUAGGCCGAAACUGACACUGAGGGACGAAAGCUAGGGGAGCGAAUGGGAUUAGAUACCCCAGUAGUCCUAGUCGUAAACGAUGGAUACUAGGCGUGGCUUGUAUCGACCCGGGCCGUGCCGGAGCUAACGCGUUAAGUCUCCCGCCUGGGGAGUACGCACGCAAGUGUGAAACUUAAAGGAAUUGACGGGG